UAUAAUGUGAUGUAUAAUGCAUAAAGAAUUUUGAUUUCUUAAGACUUAGAGUAAUUCUAGGCUUUAUAA
rnacentral:tRNA from 1 species